rnacentral:rRNA from 1 species
UGGGGAAUGUUGCACAAUGGGCGAAAGCCUGAUGCAGCAACGCCGCGUGAGUGAUGAAGGCCUUCGGGUUGUAAAGCUCUGUCUUUUGGGACGAUAAUGACGGUACCAAAGGAGGAAGCCACGGCUAACUACGUGCCAGCAGCCGCGGUAAUACGUAGGUGGCAAGCGUUGUCCGGAUUUACUGGGCGUAAAGGAUGCGUAGGCGGAUUUUUAAGUGAGAUGUGAAAACCCUAAGCUUAACUUGGGGACUGCAUUUCAUACUGGAAAUCUAGAGUGCGGGAGAGGAGAAUGGAAUUCCUAGUGUAGCGGUGAAAUGCGUAGAGAUUAGGAAGAACACCAGUGGCGAAGGCGAUUCUCUGGACCGUAACUGACGCUGAGGCAUGAAAGCGUGGGUAGCAAACAGGAUUAGAUACCCUGGUAGUCCACGCCGUAAACGAUGAGUACUAGGUGUAGGAGGUAUCGACCCCUUCUGUGCCGCAGUUAACACAAUAAGUACUCCGCCUGGGAAGUACGAUCGCAAGAUUAAAACUUAAAGGAAUUGACGGGGGUCAUAGCUGUUUCCU